UAAAGAACUGGACUAUCGGAUAGGACUUUCAGGAGUUGUUUUCAAACCGCCUUGAGGUGCUGAUUUAAAGAGAAUUGGUAUUGAGCGUCAAGGUCAAAGCAGCGCCAACGUUUGUAUGU
rfam:Chryseobacterium sp. SCN 40-13 ABS44_C0051, whole genome shotgun sequence.